rnacentral:rRNA from 1 species
CAGUAGGGAAUCUUCGGCAAUGGACGAAAGUCUGACCGAGCAACGCCGCGUGAGUGAAGAAGGUUUUCGGAUCGUAAAACUCUGUUGUUAGAGAAGAACAAGGGUGUGAGUAACUGUUCACCCCUUGACGGUGUCUAACCAGAAAGCCACGGCUAACUACGUGCCA